AAUAAAUAAAUGAAUAAAUGAAUAAAUAAAAAAUAUUCGAAAAAAAAAGAAAUAAAUAAAUAAAUAAAUAAUUGAAAGAAAAAUAAAUAAGUAAAAAAUUAUAGGACAAAAUAUAAUUUUGUACGAAGAGAAGACAUGAAAUACGGCGUCGUAGAAAUUUCUUCACGAAUCGUAUUAAUGCUCGACGCUUAUUAAAAUCGAAUGAAACGAAGAACGAAAAUGGUGGUGAACAGUGAAAAAUAUUAAACGCACAUAGGAACGCACACGUUUAAAUAUCCUGCCGGUAAAUGAAAAUAGGAAGAUUUUCUUCAUGGACGUUCACCAAUGUUAAAUGUGUACAGAACAAAUAAAUUACUCUAAUUUGCCUUUGUCAUUUACGAACGGAUUGGAAAGUGUUCGGCCAGAGUAAGACGUGAAAGUGUUCACUAAGGUAAACGAGAAAGGAGGACGUCGACGAAUCGUUUUGCGAGAAUAAAACGAAUUUCAAGCUCGUUCUGUAGGUCUUGCGUCUGUGUUUGUGUCUAGAUCUGUAUCUGUAUCUGUGUGUACUAUAUAACACCGAGGGUCGAGAGAAAACUUGAAAUAAAUGAGACGAAGGUUUUGCCAACCA